UACCACAGUGGGAACUCCUGAAAUAACAUGACUUCAUUUUAUUAGACAUGUCUCUUGAGUCAGAAAUUCCAUGCCUGGCAACUGUCAUCUUCUUGUUACUAUCUGUCGUGGUUUCCUUCACAUUUAUUUACGUGACUCUUUGUAAAUUUACUUUCCAGGAGAACUUCAGGAUGAAACAGACACUCUUCGGAAAAAAAACGGUAAAUUUUCUGAUAUCCCAUUGCUCUUGAGCCCCUCCGAAGAGACUGGUUCAGCCUUUCAUCUUGUGUGCCGUUUCAUCUAUUUCGCUUCUGUCGGCAUGCCUUUCUCUUGCACGUCCUGUCUACGGGCUCCACCUCAAUGUUUUGCGUUGGACGUGUCCCACGUUCCUUCUGUCCAUUUCUGUUUGCCUACCUCCUCUGCUCUGCCAUUCCUUCUCUUUGCAAUGCAUGCCAUGCCCUCCCGGUAAGGACUGGCUUUGCUUCGGUCUUUCAGGCACUUGCCACAGUUUCAUGAAGAAGUUGGUGAGAUGCAAAGCAUUACGCUGAGAGGGAGAUGGUUUCUCUUCCACGUGUGUUUCUAGAAAACAUCCAAACACAGGGGCUCUGUCGGGACUUCCAAGUCAGAGGGGCCAUUCCUACACAAGUGAUAGCUCUUCAAAGACUUAAGGGAUGGGAGAUGGCCCCCAAACGGCUCCGAUAACGCCCUCUGCCCAUUGCCCUUUCAAAGCCUAAGUAGCAUAUGCUAUCAUCCAUCGGUCCAGAGUGUGCCAGGGCGCCCCUCUUCCACUGGCCUUCCCCCUGGGAACCAAGUAUUCCCAGGUAUGAACAUGUUACUUCAGUUUGCCUGCUGUUCUAAACAAAAGCCAGGCCUACCGGUUGUGUCAUUUUGUGUGUCUCAGAGUUCUGAAAUGUCAGUUCUCCCUGACGGAGGCUGUUGAAAAUUUAGAGCAAUCUUCAGUUCCACGUAACACAUCUUUUCAGUUCCAUGUAACACAUCUUUUCAGUUCCUUUUGUGUUACUCGCUUUUAGAAUGCUUACUUUUCCUCCCCAGAAGUUAGGUGAGAUGGCAUUACUAGCCUGUUUUGUUUUGUAAGGGCCACACCCACCGGCACAGGGACGUUCCCAGGCUAGGGGCUGAAUGGGAGCUGUAGCCGCCGGCGUACACCACAGAAGCAGCAAGGCCGGGUACCGGCCACCCCUGCGAACCACACACCACAGCCCGUGGCCACGCCAGAGCCUUAACCUCCUG
rnacentral:lncRNA from 1 species